rnacentral:rRNA from 1 species
GACGAACGCUGGCGGCGUGCUUAACACAUGCAAGUCGAACGGAAAGGCCCUGCUUUUGUGGGGUGCUCGAGUGGCGAACGGGUGAGUAACACGUGAGUAACCUGCCCUUGACUUUGGGAUAACUUCAGGAAACUGGGGCUAAUACCGGAUAGGAGCUCCUGCUGCAUGGUGGGGGUUGGAAAGUUUCGGCGGUUGGGGAUGGACUCGCGGCUUAUCAGCUUGUUGGUGGGGUAGUGGCUUACCAAGGCUUUAACGGGUAGCCGGCCUGAGAGGGUGACCGGCCACAUUGGGACUGAGAUACGGCCCAGACUCCUACGGGAGGCAGCAGUGGGGAAUAUUGCACAAUGGGCGGAAGCCUGAUGCAGCAACGCCGCGUGCGGGAUGACGGCCUUCGGGUUGUAAACCGCUUUCGCCUGUGACGAAGCGUGAGUGACGGUAAUGGGUAAAGAAGCACCGGCUAACUACGUG